UACGGAGGAUGCGAGCGUUAUCCGGAUUUAUUGGGUUUAAAGGGUGCGUAGGCGGGCAUUUAAGCCGGCGGUCAAAUGUCGGGGCUCAACCCCGGCCUGCCGUCGGAACUGGGUGCCUUGAGUGGGCGAGAGGUAUGCGGAAUGCGUGGUGUAGCGGUGAAAUGCAUAGAUAUCACGCAGAACCCCGAUUGCGAAGGCAGCAUACCGGCGCCCUACUGACGCUGAGGCACGAAAGUGCGGGUAUCGAACAGG
rnacentral:rRNA from 1 species